rnacentral:tRNA from 1 species
GAGCCUAUAGCUCAGUCUGUUCAGAGCGCUGCUCUUAUAAGGCAGAGGUCCUCGGUUAAAAUCCGAGUAGGCUCA